UAGGGCGUAGUAAACUUUACAUUUUACUUACAAUAAAAAGGACCACGUUCGUGGCGCUCUAA
rnacentral:tRNA from 1 species